rnacentral:rRNA from 1 species
UGUUUCGGCUAGGGGGCCAUCCCGGCUUACCAACCCGAUGCAAACUGCGAAUACCGGAGAAUGUUAUCACGGGAGACACACGGCGGGUGCUAACGUCCGUCGUGAAGAGGGAAACAACCCAGACCGCCAGCUAAGGUCCCAAAGUCAUGGUUAAGUGGGAAACGAUGUGGGAAGGCCCAGACAGCCAGGAUGUUGGCUUAGAAGCAGCCAUCAUUUAAAGAAAGCGUAAUAGCUCACUGGUCGAGUCGGCCUGCGCGGAAGAUGUAACGGGGCUAAACCAUGCACCGAAGCUGCGGCAGCGACGCUUAUGCGUUGUUGGGUAGGGGAGCGUUCUGUAAGCCGUUGAAGGUGUGCUGUGAGGCAUGCUGGAGGUAUCAGAAGUGCGAAUGCUGACAUAAGUAAC